AAAAAAAAUUCCCCACAAUGGGAGAUCAAUCCCAUUUAGAGCAACAAAAAAAAUACCCUUAGCGGAUUGAUCCCCUGAUAAUGUGGAUCGAUCUUUUUUUUACUUGUGCCUUCACUUUUUCAUUACAAAGUAAAGCGGCAAUUUUUUUUUUUUUUUUUUUUCUGUCUAAAAUUGUCGAUCCCUCGCUAAAAGAGAUCGAGCGCCCCUUAGCCUUGCCCUCCAUUCGCUGCCCUACCUUCAAUCAAAUUUCCUCUCUUCUCCCUUCGAAUUCCUCAAGCAAAUUUCCACUCACAAUCUCUUCAUCCGUUCUUCAUCACUCUUCUCCUCCCCACGAAUCUCUUCCUGGCAUUCACUCCCAAUUUCUUCCUGGCAUUCACGGUGUAACACGAACCCAUAAUCUCCCGCUAUUCUCUUCUCCUCAUCCGCGGUGUCGCAGGCGUUAAAUUCCGGCGCCAUGAUUUCCGGUUCUUCUCUGCCAACGGUUUGAGGUUUGCCUUUUGCUUCGCCUCUUUGGGUUUCGUUUGGGUGCGAUUGGGGAAGUAGGGUUGCCGAAUUCGGUAAAUUUCGGCUGGGUCGCUAUUCUCCGACGAUUUCGGCUGGGUCUUUCCGGCGAUUUUAGCUGGGUCUCUCCAGUGAUUUUUCUGGUUCUUCUGGCCGUGCUUGACCGUGACUUGGAUGAGUCCAAUUUUGAUUGGGUUCCCUUCUUCCGCGAUUUUGUGGGUCGUCACGAGUUUGUUGAUUGUAAUUAAUUGUUUCGGUGAGUUUGUGAGUUGUCAACUGGGUUCCAGAUUCCACUGUCAAAAACCCCAACAAUUACAUCACUUUCAACCAUGGUAUUUCGUUUCAUGGCAUCAGUGGAAGUCCCAAGAUCUUGUUGUAUAAAGUUGGAAGGCUCUACUAGGGAAAACAGAAACUACUCUGUCCAUGUCGGCGAGCAUUCUUCGCUUCUCAUCGGUCAAUAAGGUUCAAACGAACUAAUUUCAGUUCAUUAAAGCCUUUUUGGAGACAAGCAAAGACAUUCGGAAAAAGUUCAGAAAAUGGCAAAAAGAGGUCGCAGCCCAUUGGUCGUAUAGUGUCUUAUCCUUCAAAAACGGUCAAUUCUACCUUUUUCGGGCCUUUGAUGAUGUUCCCAAAGAUGAAGAAGCAAAUCAAUUAGGCCAGAGCCAAAAUGGAGCUAAAUAAGGUGUAAAAGAAAAUUCCAACUCUGGGGGAUUGAUCCCCCCAGAGUGGGGGAUCGAUCCCUCACUAUUUACAGAACUAAAAAUGCCCCUGGGGGAUCGAUCCCCAAGGCUGGGGGAUCGAUCCCCUAGCCCCUUGCAGCAUUGCGAGAUUUAUGUUUACUUGGAUACAAGAUUUUCUUGUUUUGGGCUUAUUUUGUAAUUUAUUGGUUUCCAAUAAGGCUUAUACUUAAGGAAACCAGUACCUAUUAAUUGGGGGGGAGUUUUUAUUUUUGAUUA